CAUUCAUUUACUGAAACCCUAGGUGAGACGAUGUUUGAUUCGUGUUUUAGGGUUAUAAUUCUGUUUGAUGGUGCAUCAACUGUGACAUCAAUAAUUAUGAACCAGCACCAUGAAUGUAACUAUUCAAAGGAAUUGAUGGUUUUCUUCUUUUUUUUGUUGUGUUUGGAACUAGAGUGUUAACUGUCAACAGCAAUGUCCAUGCUUUCCUAUGGGCAGUAAGAAAUACUGAAUUGAUACUAAGGAAAAUAUGUUCUUUUGUGAAGUGUCGAUAGUAAUUCUCACCAACUAUCAUCUGAAAAAAGGUGAAAUGGUGUUGGAGCUGAUUUUACAAUUUUUUUACCAAGAUCUUAUCAAUUUUUUGGCAUUUUUGAUGCAUUGAAUCACGAGGAAACAGCUUCGUUCAUGUUGUUGUGCAUGUAAAGCUGAUUUUUCUAUGGACUGCUUGAUGGCGCUACUUGAAUCUCAGACAACUUCAUGAUCCCUAUUUUAGUCUUUCUUAUCUUCUUAUUCUUCUUCAAGUUGGAGCAGAAUAAUCCUAAGAAUUAAAGAGACAUGUGCAUAAGCAUUCACUGUAUGUAAUUAGAGUUAGGUUGCAAUGUUGAAUGGGGUAGAGCUAGCAAUCCUGCAAGUUAAAUGGUUUCUGAGUAAUGGUCCUUAUGAUGUGAGGCUGUGAGCAACUAACCAUACUGGCUUUCUUAUACUUUACGACUUUGGACAGUUUGUUGUGAUUAGCUUUAACAAUGGCAACAUUUUCCUUUUGUUCUUGCCUUCAGGUGGUUGGAAGAUAAAAAAGGUAAACAACACCCAUGCAUAGGGCUCCCGCUGUGGGCGGGGUGACGGGGACAGAGACAAGCAAUAUGUACACAUACCUUACCCCUUCACAAUAUUUGGAAGUUUCCUCUGAUCCUCAUGUAAGGAGUCUGUCCCAAAGCCCGCAAAAGAGCCUGUAAGGGCAAAGCAGCUCUCCAUGAAGAUAAGCAACGCCGGCGUUUUAGCUGGAUGUUCAAAGCUAAGAAUCCUGAAUAGAAGACACGAUUUGAUGAAAAGAAAUCCAUCCUGAAACGGCUGAUAUGUUCAAAAUCCAUUUCCAGUAUUUGAUUGAUACAUGUCUUUCAAAUUUCUGAAAUUACUUUGAAUAGAAGAACUGAGUUACAGAGGAUA